CAAGAGAGAGAGAGAGAGAGAGAGAGAGAGAGAGAGAGCCGAACUGGGGGGUUACCUCUGCCGUCUCUGUCUUCUUCUUCUUCCUUCAUCGUCUUCAACAUUGCUGGUGGUGUGUGCGCUGCUACCGUUCGCCCCAUCUACAGCAGCUAUUUUCUCCUCUAUUUCUUGUCAUCGAGCUCUUGUCUUUUCUUUUCCAUUCUGUCUGAUCGAAGGUGGUAAGCAUGUUAAACGCUGGGCUGUUGUUGGAGAUCCGACAAUGUUGUUGCUAUUCUCGGGAUCGUGGAAGCUACCGAUCUCUUCUGCUCAUUUACAUGCCAUCGUUCGAGUUCUUUUUUUGUUCAGUAUGCUGAUUCUUCUUCCUUCUUGCUCUGUUCAUCCGCUUGAGAUUUUGCUUCUUAGCUUUGUCACGUUGAGUGAGGAUGGUUGUGAGAAGGGUAGCUCGAUUGGAGUUGUAAGAAGUGAGUUUUGAACUAUGAAAGUACUACAGGGGACUUUAUACAGAACACUGGUUGCUAACGGCAGUUCCGUUAGCCCUUAGUGCGCCAUGGUUCACCUAGCUAGCAAAGUGCUUAUAGGAGGUGCUAGCCCCAUGCGAUGGCCAACGCACGUGGAAUGGAGGGAUGGUUAUUCAUGAGCAUCAUACUCACAUUUGAUUUCGUGGCUUUGAGCUGCGUUUGGUUAGCAUUACUCUCGUGGACUGUGUGUCCACAUUUGUUUCGUGGCUUCGGCUGCAUUUAGUUAUUGACCCUUGUAGAUUGUGUGUCCACAUUUGUCUUCGUGGCACAAGCCGUGUUUGGUUAAUUAUCCUCGUAGACUGUGUAUUCACGAUUGUUAAUUGUUCUGA